CUGAGAGGAUGACCAGCCACACUGGAACUGAGACACGGUCCAGACUCCUACGGGAGGCAGCAGUGGGGAAUAUUGCACAAUGGGCGCAAGCCUGAUGCAGCCAUGCCGCGUGUAUGAAGAAGGCCUUCGGGUUGUAAAGUACUUUCAGCGGGGAGGAAGGGAGUAAAGUUAAUACCUUUGCUCAUUGACGUUACCCGCAGAAGAAGCACCGGCUAACUCCGUGCCAGCAGCCGCGGUAAUACGGAGGGUGCAAGCGUUAAUCGGAAUUACUGGGCGUAAAGCGCACGCAGGCGGUUUGUUAAGUCAGAUGUGAAAUCCCCGGGCUCAACCUGGGAACUGCAUCUGAUACUGGCAAGCUUGAGUCUCGUAGAGGGGGGUAGAAUUCCAGGUGUAGCGGUGAAAUGCGUAGAGAUCUGGAGGAAU
rnacentral:rRNA from 1 species